rnacentral:rRNA from 1 species
GAAACCGUGUACGUACAAGCAGUGGGAGCACAGGUUUACCUGUGUGACUGCGUACCUUUUGUAUAAUGGGUCAGCGACUUAUAUUCUGUAGCAAGGUUAACCGCAUAGGGGAGCCGGAGGGAAACCGAGUCUUAAUUGGGCGUUAAGUUGCAGGGUAUAGACCCGAAACCCGGUGAUCUAGCCAUGGGCAGGUUGAAGGUUGGGUAACACUAACUGGAGGACCGAACCGACUAAUGUUGAAAAAUUAGCGGAUGACCUGUGGCUGGGGGUGAAAGGCCAAUCAAACCGGGAGAUAGCUGGUUCUCCCCGAAAGCUAUUUAGGUAGCGCCUCGUGAAUUCAUCUCCGGGGGUAGAGCACUGUUUCGGCUAGGGGGCCAUCCCGGCUUACCAACCCGAUGCAAACUGCGAAUACCGGAGAAUGUUAUCACGGGAGACACACGGCGGGUGCUAACGUCCGUCGUGAAGAGGGAAACAACCCAGACCGCCAGCUAAGGUCCCAAAGUCAUGGUUAAGUGGGAAACGAUGUGGGAAGGCCCAGACAGCCAGGAUGUUGGCUUAGAAGCAGCCAUCAUUUAAAGAAAGCGUAAUAGCUCACUGGUCGAGUCGGCCUGCGCGGAAGAUGUAACGGGGCUAAACCAU